UGGCUCAGGAUGAACGCUAGCGGCAGGCUUAACACAUGCAAGUCGAGGGGUAGGGUUCUUCGGAACCUGAGACCGGCGCACGGGUGCGUAACGCGUAUGCAAUCUACCUUUUACAGAGGGAUAGCCCAGAGAAAUUUGGAUUAAUACCUCAUAGCAUAGCAGCUUCGCAUGAAGCCACUAUUAAAGUCACAACGGUAAAAGAUGAGCAUGCGUCCCAUUAGCUAGUUGGUAAGGUAACGGCUUACCAAGGCUACGAUGGGUAGGGGUCCUGAGAGGGAGAUCCCCCACACUGGUACUGAGACACGGACCAGACUCCUACGGGAGGCAGCAGUGAGGAAUAUUGGACAAUGGGCGCAAGCCUGAUCCAGCCAUGCCGCGUGCAGGAUGACGGUCCUAUGGAUUGUAAACUGCUUUUAUACGAGAAGAAACACUACUUCGUGAAGUAGNCUUGACGGUAUCGUAAAAAUAAGGGAUCGUGCU
rnacentral:rRNA from 1 species